GGGGGGGCGGUUGGCGGCCGGCUCCUCGGCCAGGGAGCCCCGGGGGGGGGGGGGGGGCCGGGAGGCGGGGAGGGAGUCUGUGUGUGUCUGGGGGGGGCCGUGGGGGGGUGCCGCCUCCGCUCCCGCUCCGCCCCAGCCAACGGCAGCCCCGGCAGCCGCUGCGGCCCCCCCCGGGGCCGGGCCGCGCCGGGAGCCGCGGGGAUGCUGCGCGCCGGGCAGGUACCAGGAUCCCUCUCCCCGCAGAGGCGAAUGCCACCAGCUACCCGCAAGCGUCUUCGCUGCGUGCCCAGCCGGCGGAUGAUGGGAGCUCGGCGGGUGGGAGCUCACCGGAUCGUUGCUCAGCGCGUGGAUCAGGUGGGGACGGGAACGGGGGGGAGCCCUGGGAGAGACGGGGGCGAGCAGAAAGCCCCCGUGGCAAGCGGCAGCACGCUGCGGAGUCUGCUUCUGCGGGAGACUCGGCGCCCCGUGUCAAGGUCUGCGUUUCGUAGGGCCUUUUUUGGUACAAUCCUGCAAACUGCCCUGUUCCGCAGCAGUGACCCAGUCAUUAUAUAAACAAGGGUUUAAUUUUGGAACUUUAAUAUUUAACGGGCUUAAGUUUCUUUCACUCAGACAUGUUCUCAUACACUGCCCACUCGACAAAAUACUUCUCACCUACCUUAUCGGUUGCUAACAAAGUAUCCUGCGGCUGAGUUCAUGGUCCGUUUGAGUGAAUAUUUGUACUCGGGAUAAUUCCCUUUCUUAGUAUCAGGGGUUUAUAAGAUGGCAUCACCCUGGCUGGCCCUUCUGAGUUCUCACUCUGGCUAUCCUCUAAGAUGAACAGGGGAGACAAGUAACACGAAAGGGUGUGUUGAUGCUAAGAGCAGCCAAGGCCAGCAUGGGCAGUUACCUAAAAUCAUAUACCAUUACAAACCAAGACCCUUUGGAAGAGAGACAUAGGGAUCCGUCCUGAGAUGGGACCUCUACUAGAAGUGACUUGUAUAACUCGUGUACCAACUCCUGCAAGGAGAGAGGCUGGAGCAGUGUCGAUCCCCUCUUGCUGUCUUCUGCAGAUAAUUUCCCUCUGACUUUUUUUCUGCAGUCAGUAAUUAUUCCGCACAUUUUCAGUUUUGUGAUGGUAACACAGGUACCUCCAUCUCCUUGGAGGGGACAGAAGCUCUACUUGUCCCUUGCCGUCAAAGGCAAAGACAUGGUUUCUUGUCUACGGUCCUGCUGUAGGUGUGUUACCAGCCCUUUAGCCUUGACUGUUUUUUUCUAAAGCCAUCAGAGAAGUUAGAGGAACAGGAAACAAAUUGCAUUAAAAGUGCUUUGGAGGAAGGAGUUACCAUGGAGAUGGAAAGUCGGGUGGGUUUUUUUUCGGGCUAUUGGAACACAGUAGGUCCUUCUCAAACAAACUUGUGUGGUCUUGAUAACAUGACUGCUGUCUCUCGUUCUUUGUGAUGGUCCGAAGUUGUAAGGAAUCUGCGUGUUGGCUUUAGUGGUUUCCAUUGUUGCCAUUCUCUCCGGUCAUCGAAUGACUACAUUUCCAGCAUCGACGCUCACUGAUAAUUGACCCUGGGCCACUCAGAGUAGCUCCCUUCCAAUGCCAGUUACCUAAGCGUGAUAGAUUUCCCCAUCUUGUGGUCUCUGUGAAAUGGAUUUACAGAAGGAAGCUUUUGUUCUUUGUGCUGUAGGAACUACAUUAGUAUUCUGGGAAAGAAAUAUCUGCCUUUAAACUAUGACUUAGCAUUUCUGUUAUGGUCCUACACUUUCUUACCUGGGUCCACUUUCAUGCGGUGGCCCUUCGCAGCAUACCAGUCAGCUGGUCAUUUUCAUAAAGCACUGACAGAAGGAAUAAUGUGGGCUUUGCACCCUUUAAAUAUGUUUUAAUGAUGCAGUUUUCAGUGCUGCCUAUACUGGGCUGUGAAAUGAGUAGGAACUGUGUUUAGAUAGAGGUAUAAAACUUCUCUGUGGUGUGUUUACCUGGCAUCCUACAGUUUCACAAUGCUCUGUGACCAUGGACCGUCACACUGCCUGCUCAGUACACUUUGUCACGUAAAUGCAAUGACGCAAAUAUAAGAAUUAGCCCUGCCCUGCUGGGACUGCACAAAUCCAUCAUGCAGGAGCCUGCCUUUCACGGUGCCUGUAGGGAGCACCCAGGGAAGGAGCAGGCAGGCACGGCAGGUAGCUACGGUCCUUCCCACAUCCUGCAGCCAGCUCUCCGUGAACUUCUGAGUAACAACACAUCCAUCACUUGAAUAUGUUCAGUUAGGGUUUGUUGGUUGGUUUUUUUAGCCUAUCACUUUGAACCUACGAAUUCUGAAUUUAAUCAGAUAAUUUUUUCCCCAGCCCCUGCACAUCAUGAGAUGCUUCCUUUACUCCUCACCGUCUUACCGUGGAUGUGCCUUGCUGAUUUUGUAUCAUCUCCAAACAUUGCCAGCUCACUACAUACUCAUUUUCCAGAACGUUUGCAAACAUGUUGAACGCUCAAGAAACUCCCAGCAUCCUGGCCUGUGUGUUUAUGUACAUUUGAGCACCGAGCGUUUCAGUUUUCACCUGUACUCAAAGUUUGGUGCAGGCAGUGAAUCGUCCUCCCAAGGCAGCUCUCAUCUUGGACAAUCUCAUUUUAACCUCACAGUUUUGAGGCAGGAAUGGCUUUAUAUAACCCAGAUUUCAUCCCCGGGGGUGGCGGGUUUGGUGUCGAGGUUAUGCAGAACCAAAUGCUCACCCGCACAAGUUGGGACAUCAUGGACUAUCCUGCCAGCGACCUCGUACUCGUUCCACCUUUAGCUGCUGUGAGGAGGUGAAGAAAUGCUCCAGCUCCAGGAAAGGAGCUGCAGAUCUCCAGAAGCAAACGCCCUGGGACACCGGAGCUCCCGGGAGGCAGCCCUGCUGAAAGAGCAUGUGUCAGAGGGAAGACUGGGAUAUAGGUCUCAGUCAUUCUUGGCUCAUUGAUGUGCACAUCUGAUGGCCUUAUUUUCACCUGUCAUAUCCAGUCUGCUUUCCUAUAUUCCCCUUGAGCACCUCUCUUCUCACCCUGUCGAUGACUGAAGUGGGGUACCCUAAAUGCCAGAAGAUACUUUCCUGCACAAGCUCACAUUUCAUGGACUCCUGAAUUCUAAUGACUACCCUGGACCUUUCACCCUGCCGUAGAUGCACUUCUUUGAAAGCUAAACAUCCUGCAGAUGUGGGCAGAGAUGCCAGACAGCAUUUUCAAAAGGGGAAAAGCUCUAUUGCUGGGUUGUAGUCGGUUGGGGACUGUAGGUAAACCGAUCAACACAGAGCACCAAGGUUAAUGCAUGUGCUGCUGUUGGAAUCACAGCUUCCCUUCCCACCCCGAGCCAUGCAGCAAUUCUUUGUGUCUUCGCACGGGGAAGCAGAAUUACCGCCAUCCGCUGACAUCUCCCUUUUUUGUUCCUCGCUCACGCACACUGUUCCCCCAUGCUCUGCUCUGGGGGCUGGUCCCUGACAGUUCACAGCCCGUCACUGGGUGCCCGUCACAUCUCCUGGGCAACUCUGUUCACAUGUGGAUAAUUCUUGAUGGCUCAUUUACACCAGCUUUUACUUUUCUAUGUGGUUCUUUGCCUCAGAGAUGAAACUAACCCCUUUAGUACUCUUGUGCAAUACCAAAAUGAGUGUGGAAACCAUGUUUGUGUGUUUACAAAAGAAUAUAGAUGUGUUUUCUGUCCUCCUUCAUGUGUGAGGUGACACACUCAAUGUAAAACUAAUUGGAAUUAAAGUCUUGGUGCCUCUGUGCAGCCGGCAUUAUCAUAGUUACAGUGUAGGACUGCCAGCUCAGCAGUCAUUGACUGCUUAGGAAUGACUUUUCUUCUAAUAUUACUACUAAGAAUCCAUUCAAUAAUAAUUUUAGAAUCCAUGUCUUUUUCAUUAUUUAAGAUAUAUUCAUCUCUUCCCCUUAUCUUGGUUUUAAAGACUUUAUGAGAAUCUGUUGGAUCUCUGAUUUUGAUUUAACUCUUUAGCUUCUCAGUGCCGAUAAUUUUGUGUACAAGUGCAGGGAAGGCUUGUAAAAAAGACAGCAAAGUCUUGUAAAACUUUUCUAAUUAUUUAGGUUUUGGAAAAUUUGAAGGCCUAUUCCUCUUUUGAGGAAUAACAGUUGUUCCGAUCAAGUAGAUGGAUAGUACCUCCUGAAGAGUGGCAACCGUGAAAUCCAGCAAGACAGUCUAAAGGGCCGAGGCAUUUGUUCUCUCCUUUCAUGGUACCAGCCAUCUUCCCUCUCCAUAUGACAAAAUUCCUGGUAGGCAGAGGGUCAGUGUAGGCGGCUUUCUUUCUCUUGAAUACAACUAAACUCAAUGCUGUUGUAUGAAAAAUAUUUUAUAAAAGCAGGAGAGCAAAGGACCUCAUGCAGCUGUGUAACACACUCAGCAGGAAGCUGUGUCCAGCUGUUACUUUAUUCUUUCUUUUCAAGUGUUCCAUGGCAAAACUAGAUGAGCCGUGUUAGCGGGGAUGUUCCUCUCUCCUGGAGCUGCUGGAGCCGGCGUGUUUGUGUCCCAUCCACCCUGACACACCGUCCUCCCGUUGCCAAGGAGCCGAUCGCAUUGCUGAGAGCCAGGACUGUGCCUGAACUGCUCCGGCAUUCCCGCUCUUCCUCUGCCUUCUCCCCACCUCCCACUCGGCCUCCGCCAGAAUCGGCAUUAGAAACGGUGAUCCUGCAAACGCCACCUCGCUUUGGGGGUUUUCUUUUUGCAGUUUCGGGCAACUGGGAUGUGCGCACGGACAAUCCCAGCGGUGGGACUGUCGGUUCGGCUGUGACGAGCAGGGUGUUACUACCACGGGGUGAUGGACACCUCUGCAAGAUAACUCGGGUUGCCAUGGUUACAGAUGGAAAAUAGGGCUACGGGUUAACUCGGGCCAGCGUCGCAUGAAGCACAACAUCCCACGUCAUUUUGCGCACACCUGAGACAGUGGAAGCCGGAGUGGUGGCCACCAUAAAUCCCCGAGUCCCCACCCAGCCCCAAGUUUGUACAUUAAACUUCCCGAAACCUCCCACACAGAAAUCACUGUGUGCAACAGCCUCAGGGAUGGAAUUGGGGUCAGGGUCAAGAAGCCUCCUGCAAGACUCUGGCAGAGGAGCCUGUCUCAGCCCUGUGACCUGUUAUUUCUUACUUAUUGGUGCACCCCAAAUGUUAAGGCCAUACGUAAGCUCUGAUUUUUCUGAGCUGUCACGCUCUGAAUAUUUAAGAGGAAUUCUGGGAGUCAGGCACGCACCUCACCUCUAGACCGUGGUCGCAUCCUGGAGGCAAAGCAGAUGGCUUCAGCUGGACCGGAGGGCUGGAGCCGAUACAGACUCUGAUGGACCAGGCAGCGAUGCAACAUUUCUGGCCGUUCUAAGUGUCCCCAGAACACGAUCAUCUUCAGGACUUGGUGAAAAUCUCCCAGGCAAACAAAGGGACAAAUGAAGCCUGGAGUGAAAAACAAAGGAAAAAAACAAAGGAAAAAAACAAAGGAAAAAAGAGAAGUUUCUAGCCCAAGCAGAGCUGUUACUCACAGGUGGUUUUGGAGGCUCCAUGGAAUCGCUUUGGGACGCUGCUAUUUCUCUUUCACGGCACUGGACGGCAGUACUAGAGCCCAAGGAGGACAGUUUCUGCCAGGCUGAUUCCUGCGUCUUACCGGCCACAAGCUGUUACUGUCUCCCAAAGAGCGAGCCUGCACGUGCACAGGUAUCAGCGGAAAGGAGGUAAAGGGCCUGCUGGAAAGAUCACUCCUGGCUUUUGAGGUAUUGCAUCCUUCAUUUCAACGGUCCAGCCCUAAGGAAUGGAAAGUGACAGUGCAGGAACGGAUCGAAAGAGCAGAGGCUCCCAUCUGGUGCAGUCAGUGGGCAAAUAAAUUGUGUUCACGCUAUUAAUCACUUAAUAAAAUUGCUGAUCUUUGGUGUGCUAUUCAAAAUGUGUAUUUAAGGAAGUCUUAAAAGUUUGUACCUUCAUCACAAUAUAUUCUUAUUGCCUUGGCUUUUGGGGGGGAGGAAUAGUAUUAGAAGCUGGCUUAGAGGCUUUAAACCAGUCCUUGCCAUUUCUUAGCUGCUGGCCCUUCCGGCAGGCUGAGAGCUAAUCCUCAGCUCUCCUUUCCCCUUUAAAGGAGUAAAACGAUGCAGUCAUGUACGGGCUGAGAAGGAGCUGUUUUGUGUGGUUUUUUUUUUUAAAAGGGAAAAUAGUUGGCAGGAACAUGAGCAAAGCUGAAAGUAUUUUCAUCUGUUUUGUUUUGUAAUGUUUAAUGUUUUGUUUUCUACUUUACGAAUUACACAAAGGAAUCACUCAAAACAAAGGUCUCCCAUUCUGGAAAGGGAAAAAAAAAAUCUACAGUGGGACUAAUGCGGCCAAUCAGAAUUGGCCAAGUAAGAAAAAAACCAAAAUAUCUUGAAAAAUGACAACAUCUAUUUUUUCUCACAAAAAAAAUAGAAACGCUCACCCUCUAAUUGAGAUUUGUUUGUAAAAUAAUUCCAGGCUGGGAAGGGUAAUCAAUUCGUGCAUAAAAAUAUUUUUUGAGAUUAAUUUUUAUUUUUGUUAACGGUAGCUUGAAUUUUAGAACUUACUAGUGGGUUUCCAAUGAUUAUUGCUAUGUAAGUACAAAAUACCUGUCCUAACUUUUAGACAGUUGUGUAUCCUUGUUUUAAGAAAGGCUACAGAAGAGAACUGACGGAAAAGGCACAGUUUAAAAAAAAAUAAAUCUUGGCAGUUUGAGGAGAAAACAGCUGGGAGAGGAGUCUCUUCUUGCUCCUUCCUUUUUACAAGUAUUUUAAAAAGAUAAUAGCUUAUAAUUACUUAUUUUUAGAAGUGUUUAGAAGGCUCAGCUGAGACCCAGAGGCCACUGUGGCUCAGUGCUCUACAAGCAAAGACAGUUUAUCCCUGGCCAAAAUAAUUUACAAUCCCAGUUUGAAGGCUGAGACAAGAGGCAGAGCUAAACCUCAGCCAGUACCUGCCAGCACCAAACCCAGCACGAACAGCAAAACGCCACAGUUAGUGACGGUGUCGGUUUAUUCAGCUGAGCUGAUGAAACCGCUCCGAAUUUGAUAAUUUUCAGCAAUAAAGAUAAAAAGCAUUUCAGGAAUUUUUCAGAUAAGAACAAAUAAUUCGUGGCAUCGAGUUUUAAAUACUCCGGGAGCGUCUUGGCAGCCGAUGCUGAACGAGGAGCUGCAGGCAGGCGUGGUGCUCGCUCGGUGUGUGUCUGGCAGCUCCCGGGCACUCGUGGGUGCUGCGCUGGGGGUGGGAGUGGGGACUGAAGCGACUCGCAUGAAUCACAGCAGAUUUCCCAAUCUCUCGCUGUGCUUACAAAAGCAGUCACUCCAGGCAGGGGCUGGCAGACACACGCAUUCAGUGGGAUGUGCCCUCGUACCCAUAGGUGUUUCUAAGUCACGGCCAAGCCUCGCUGCACACACGCAGCAGCAUCACCUUUCUGUAGGUGCAUCCCGUAAAGCAGUGGGCAAAGGGAGGAGGUCUGCGCCCGGACGAGGUCUGCUGGUGCCACAGUAAUGCUAAGAAAGCUGCUUAGGAAUGUCUAAACAAUUUUUUUCCCUGUUUAUUCAUUUCCCAAUUGGAAAAUACUGCUUUGUCAUAUUAAGGUUGGUGAAACUUUUAAUGGGAGAUUUUGUCGUACCCAGGGUGUGACUCCAGGGAGUUGGGAGGUGACAGCAGGACGGACAGCUGGGACUGCAGGACAGCCAAAAGCUCUGCUACAAACUCAGCCGGGAUAUGGGAGACCAGAGCUGCAAGACUCUUCUGUGGAGAUCAAAGCAGGGAUGUGCAGGCGAAUUUCUGGCAGCCCAGGUCAGCGCCCAUCAGCCCACAGCGACCAGCAAUGAAGAUGGCAACUCUGCCUGGAAGUGCUGAGGACACAACCAGCUUUGAGUUUGGUCCUUCUGGCCGAGGAAGUCUCCCGAUUAUGCAGUGGAGUGGUAACUUUGCUUUCUCAUACGGCAGGGAACAUUAUUCCAUAGCCUUUCAUCAUAUCGAGGCUUAAACAAGUUUAAGGAUAUGGUAGCAUAAGCAUUUAAUCUGUAUUACUCACUCGUUGACAUCUCAAGCGUCAGGUCGGGUUGUUUAGCAACAACCACUGGGUUCAGAACCGGCUCAAACAUACUGCGUCUGCCGUCUCCAUUACUUCAGCAGCACCCUGUCCUCUGAACGGCAGUCUGAGAGAGAGGGAGAGAGAGAAGGGCUGUAUUUACACACGUACACCCACCGCGACCAAAUUUUGGUUGUGUGGUUACAAAGGCCGUACGCGCUGCAGUUUUAUCCCCGACUCCAUUCCUUUGCGCAGUACCGUAGAGGGGAGGAUGCCAUUUCCAACAGCAGUGCGGUGGUAGGAACAGGGAGGGAAGAAGAAAACAGACAGUAGGUGCCACUCCCCGCUUUUUUCCUCUUUCCCAUCGCCACCUUUCUUGCCUCCCCUCCUUUUCCGCCAGACUCCAUAGGGAAUUUCAGACUCUUACUGCAGUCGUCACAACCCCUCCUGACUCACUGAGCCUUCGCUGGCUGUAGCUGGCUCCCUUGGAGCAUCCUUGCCUCCUGCAGCGCCAGUUCCGCAGAGCAGGGGAACAACAGGAAUAGCAGCAACAACGGUGGUCCCUGCAGCAAGAUGGACAGGCAUAAAUACACACACGUAUAGGAACAGUACAAAGCAGCCACAGAGGUAAUUCUGUAUAGCCAGGACUAAGAAACGAUGGUCAGUUGCAUGGAAGACGUGUGGGUUGAGUCUGUUUUUAGCGAGUGCUGUCUGAAGGGACAACCCCUUGCAUUUUUCCCCAUCACCGUUCUGGGGUGGAGGACCCCAUUAAUUUGCAAAGCUAGUCCUUCAUGACAUUUCUCAGUCCUUUGAAAGGAGAUGCAACUAGCAACCAGUAUACUUGCUCAGGCAUAUGCGUACUUUUUGAGUAUCUGCGUUCAGCGUAGGCAUGCAUUUGGUUUUAUUCCUUUUGCGACCAUCUUUUUGCCACAGUGAUAGUUUAAUUGUGACUAAGUGCAGGGAGGGUAAGGAGACAGAGAUAAAGAGGAGUUAUUUCAAUGUUAAACUUCGGCUGUAAAUCUCAUUACUCAGGAAUUGAGGUUACCGUCAGCAGGUAAAUCUGUGGAACUGGCAAGAAACAAGGCUAAGAAGGGGACACGGCAUAUUUCUGUAGGACGCUAACGAUUUUGCGCAUAGGGAUGGUAUUGUUACUGUAUGUUAGCUGUACAUGCCUAACUGUUCCAUGAUGGUUUUCUGCAUAUUGCCACAAAAGGCCUUGGGAAAGCUGUGAUUUCUUCCUCCCUCUGACACUUGUGUGUGUGACAUUGUGUAAGGUGAUUCAUUUUUCUGUAUUUUGGUUUCCUUCCUUUGUAAAGUGGGGUUUAUAGUGUAUCUCAGCCUUAGUGCGGCAUUAUGACGCAGUGUUUGUUAAUGCGUUGGGUCUGUUGGCAAAAUACAUGCAAUUUUCUUGGGA